AGAACUGAAAACCAUCGCUGCUCGGCUCCCAUCUCCGCGCAUCUCGUCGAGCGCACGCCGCCUGCCGUUUCCCCCCCUCCGGGCGCCCGCCGCCGCCGUUUCCCCGCUCCUCCGAGUGCCCGCCGCCUCCCUCGCCACGGUAGUAGAUUAGGCCGCCGCCGGCGCCCAGUCAGCUCGAGCUCCGGCCGCCGUCCUGAUCUCCCGCUCGGAGGGGAAACUCGCGCCUCGCGCAUCUGUCUCGCCCCUCUGUCGCGUGCAGCACCACCGUGCGGGGGGCUCGCUGGCGCAGCCACGCUCCGGUGAGGCGAUUCGACCGGCCCGGUCCAGCUGAAACCCCGACGCCGGCCCCCAUCCCCAGCAGCCGUGCCAGCCGACGACCGCCACCGAUUUCCUGCCGAGCAGGGCGUCAUCGCCGCAAGGAGAAGUGCAAAAACCUGUUUUGGGGAGCUGCUUUCCUCUGAAGUGCAAAAGCCAUUCACGUCAUCUAUAUAGAUCAAAUUUAUGAAUGUCAUUUGAUCAUUUGCUUUGUAUAUUUCUUUUUUUGAGAUUUGCUUUGUAUAUUUCAGGAACAUGAACAUUCAGGAGACAAACCCGUCUUGUUACUCUUGUUGCUGUAAGGAACACCCUUGCUUCUGUCUGUACCAUUUAACUUGUUUGGAAUCAAUGCUGAUCAUAUAUGUUUUCCUGAAUCUGCUGGAUAUGGUGGCCUACUGAUUUGUAUUUCUAUUUGUUAUGUGUUAUGUACAUGUUAGGUAAAUUGUAUGUCGUGUCCAUGUAUGCUAAACAUAUUCUGUGCUACACAGGUUCCAUGUAUUUUGGGUGUAAAUUUGACAGGGAAAGAUCUCAUGGAGUUUAUCCAGCAAGUAACCACUAUGUUAUCAUGGGCAACUUAAAUUCCUCCUAAGUCCUCACUUACUUGCAAAAAUAGCUCUACAAGUGAAUAAGCCUCAGAUUUUCAUCUGAUUCUAUCUGUAAUAAAAUAAAAUUGUAUGUUGAUAUUUUAUUGCAGUUAGUUCAUUAACCUUUAGUCAUGUUACCUAUUACUGUCUUUUCCAGCUUGAUGAGACUGAUGGGUCGUCAGCUAUGCCCCCAGCAGCAUGGUUUUCAUGGCGUUGCCUAGGCGACAAGACGCUUCCAUUGUUUUGGGCUAAGGCGUCGCCUAGCCUGCCUAGGCAGCUGGGUGGUGGUGACUCGCCACGCCUCGCCUUACCACCGUAAGAACCAUGCCCAGCAGUUCUCGGAAUUCUUAACUUCAAAGCUUGCAGAGGGGCGACCAUGUUUGGUGACCCCUUGCUACCCAUCCGAAUGCUGUCUGAUUAUUAUUUCCACAUGUUACUCUGUGUUCCUGUUAUGGAAAGAAGCUUUCCUCCGCUGAAUAGAACCCUCUCUUGCAGUGUGCUCAUGGGCGGCCGACCACACAGUGCCUAUAGUGAACGUCGCAUCCCUCCAUGGCGAGCCAGCGAGGCACCAAAUGCUGAGCGGAAGGCAGGCGGAGACCUGGCACGGCUUGGCGCACCAAGAGCCCAGCCUUGAGCGCGCUAAGAUGCGCCUCAAACAACUGAGAAAGGUUGAAGUCAGAUAAACGGGAGCGUGAUUUGUACAGUUUGUAGAUGAGUGGAAUUCUACUGUGCUGUAGUACCAUUGUACAUACGAUAGACAUUCCUUCCUGACGAGGAGAUAGAACGGCGCCCAUCACCUGACGAGCGACUGGGCUUUGCCAUGGCGUUGUUGUAAACUGUGUACGUUCUGGUUUGUUAAAUCAAAUUCAUACCAUUCCUGAUCAGUUAAGAGUUGAGUUGGAUGCGAUAA